rnacentral:rRNA from 1 species
UACAGAGGUCCCGAGCGUUGUUCGGAUUCAUUGGGCGUAAAGGGUGCGUAGGCGGCGGGGCAAGUCUGAUGUGAAAUCCCGGGGCUCAACCCCGGAACUGCAUUGGAUACUGCCUUGCUUGAGUACUGGAGAGGGAACUGGAAUUUACGGUGUAGCAGUGAAAUGCGUAGAGAUCGUAAGGAACAUCUGUGGCGAAGGCGACACCCUGGACCAGCACUGACACUGAGGCACGAAAGCGUGGGGAGCAAACAGG